AUUAUACCGCGAAACUGCNUGGNUCNUUNUCUAANUUAUCGUUUAUUUGAUAGCACAUUUACCUACUUGGAUAACCGUGGUAAUUCUAGAGCUAAUACAUGCUAAAAAUCCCGACUUCGGAAGGGAUGUAUUUAUUAGAUUAAAAGCCAACGCCCUUCGGGGCUUCUUGGUGAUUCAUGAUAACUUGUCGAAUCGCAUGGCCUUGCGCCGGCGAUGGUUCAUUCAAAUUUCUUCCCUAUCAACUUUCGAUGCGAAGGUCUUGUCUUCGCAUGGUUGCAACGGGUAACGGAGGGUUAGGGCUCGACCCCGGAGAAGGAGCCUGAGAAACGGCUACUACAUCCAAGGAAGGCAGCAGGCGCGCAAAUUACCCAAUCCCGACACGGGGAGGUAGUGACAAUAAAUACUGAUACAGGGCUCUUUUGGGUCUUGUAAUCGGAAUGAGUACAAUUUAAAUCCCUUAACGAGGAACAAUUGGAGGGCAAGUCUGGUGCCAGCAGCCGCGGUAAUUCCAGCUCCAAUAGCGUAUAUUAAAGUUGUUGUGGUUAAAAAGCUCGUAGUUGAACCUUGGGCCUGGCUGGCCGGUCCCCCUCACCGGGUGCACUGAUCCAGCCGGGCCUUUCCCUCUGUGGAACCUCAUGGCCUUCACUGACUGUGCUGGGGAAACAGGACUUUUACUUUGAAAAAAUUAAAGNGCUCCANGCAGGCCUAAUGCUCNAANUACAUUAGCAUGGAAUAAUANAAUAGGACGUGUGGUUCUAUUUUGUUGGUUUCUAGGACCGCCGUAAUGAUUAAUAGGGACAGUCGGGGGCAUCAGUAUUCAAUUGUCANANGUGAAAUUCUUGNAUCNAUUGAANACUAACUACUGCNAAAGCAUGCCNAGGAUGUUUUCNUUGAUAANGAACGAACUUAGGGAAUCGAANACNAUCAAA
rnacentral:rRNA from 1 species